rnacentral:rRNA from 1 species
UCUGUGCCAGCAGCCGCGGUAAUACAGAGGGUGCAAGCGUUAAUCGGAUUUACUGGGCGUAAAGCGCGCGUAGGUGGCCAAUUAAGUCAAAUGUGAAAUCCCCGAGCUUAACUUGGGAAUUGCAUUCGAUACUGGUUGGCUAGAGUAUGGGAGAGGAUGGUAGAAUUCCAGGUGUAGCGGUGAAAUGCGUAGAGAUCUGGAGGAAUACCGAUGGCGAAGGCAGCCAUCUGGCCUAAUACUGACACUGAGGUGCGAAAGCAUGGGGAGCAAACAGGAUUAGAUACCCUGGUAGUCCAUGCCGUAAACGAUGUCUACUAGCCGUUGGGGCCUUUGAGGCUUUAGUGGCGCAGCUAACGCGAUAAGUAGACCGCCUGGGGAGUACGGUCGCAAGACUAAAACUCAAAUGAAUUGACGGGGGCCCGCACAAGCGGUGGAGCAUGUGGUUUAAUUCGAUGCAACGCGAAGAACCUUACCUGGUCUUGACAUAGUAAGAACUUUCCAGAGAUGGAUUGG